rfam:Myotis davidii contig169611, whole genome shotgun sequence.
GGCGGUUCUUGGGUGACGCACCCUGGAGCCAGAGAGGAGGGAGCCCAAUUCCAGGGUGCAUCACCCAAGAACUGCC